rnacentral:rRNA from 1 species
CAAGUCGGACGGGAUAGAAGAGCUUGCUUUUCUUGAGAGUGGCGCACGGGUGCGUAACACGUAUGUAACCCACCUUGAUCAGGGGGAUAGCCUCUCGAAAGAGAGAUUAAGACCGCAUAACAUUAAGUUGUGGCAUCGCAAUUUAAUCAAAUAUUUAUAGGAUCAAGAUGGGCAUGCGGAACAUUAGCUAGUUGGUAAGGUAACGGCUUACCAAGGCUACGAUGUUUAGGGGAUCUGAGAGGAUGACCCCCCACACUGGUACUGAGACACGGACCAGACUCCUACGGGAGGCAGCAGUAAGGAAUAUUGGUCAAUGGACGGAAGUCUGAACCAGCCAUGCCGCGUGCAGGAAGACGGCCCUACGGGUUGUAAACUGCUUUUGUACGGGAAUAAACCUACCUAUGUAUAGGUAGCUGAAUGUACUGUAAGAAUAAGGAUCGGCUAACUCCGUGCCAGCAGCCGCGGU